UGCCCCAUGGCUGAGUUGGCCACAGCGUCCGACUGUUAUUGAUCCGCUUAUUCGGUGACAUUGGAAGGUCGAGAGUUCAAGUCUUUCUGGGGCAG